AUAUCACUAAGCGGAGGAGAAGAAAUUAACUAAGAUUGCCCCAGUAACGGCGAGUGAAGCGGCAAGAGCCCAAAAUGUAAAUCUUGUGCACAUCGUGUACACGAAUUGUAAUCUAGAGAGAGUCUACUCAACGGGCGGUGGCGCAGAAGUGACCACGAACGGUCCGCCAGAGAGGGUGACAGCCCCGUAUGUGGUGCCACCGCUUAACGAGUGGGUUCUUGAAGAGUCGGGUUGUUUUGUAUUGCAGCCCUAAGUGGGAGAUAAACUUCUUCUAAGGCUAAAUAUAUAUGGGAGACCGAUAGCGCACAAGUA
rnacentral:rRNA from 1 species